rnacentral:rRNA from 1 species
GACGGGGGGGGCAAGUGUUCUUCGGAAUGACUGGGCGUAAAGGGCGCGUAGGCGGCUUGGCAAGUGGAAGGUGAAAUCCCUCGGCUUAACCGAGGAACUGCCCUCCAAACUGCUUCGCUUGAGACCGGGAGAGGUGAGUGGAAUUCCCAGUGUAGCGGUGAAAUGCGUAGAUAUUGGGAGGAACACCAGUGGCGAAGGCGGCUCACUGGACCGGUACUGACGCUGAUGCGCGAAAGCGUGGGGAGCAAACGGG